UUGAGACCCUAAUCAAAGCAGAUACAAGUUUAAAGUUGUAUGCUGUUGCGCAUCAUGUGAACUAAAAAAUAAAAUUACAAAGAGGAAUAGAUGGUGUUGCCAUCAUAAAAAAAAAUUGGGAUCGCCCGAUCGAUAUCUGCCUACGGUUUUACACAACCAUGUUUGAGUAGCCAUUGGAAAAUUAUCAAAAAUGGUGGCGAAACAAAGCUGGUAUAAAAGAGGAAAUUCGAAAAUCAUAGUGUUUCAAAAGACAUAAUCAAAAAGACUUUUAUGGUUGUGAACAUGUGCAAAAAAAGUUCCACAAAAUCACUAUAUUUUUUUGAUCAAUUGUGAUAAGGAACCGGUCAUUGGGUUUGAAAUAAGUCGUUGAAUUUGAAGGAUUUCCUAUGUGUAUCCUAAUUCUGUUUGGGGUUCGUGGUCGAGGUGAUGGAAUUGAUAAGAACUGAUAAUUUGGUCACAAGAGAAAAAUUACUAUUAUAUAAGAAUUAAGAUUUUGCCACUUUGUAUGGAUGGCCCCGACCAGGUUAUAGACAUUCGUAAUAUUAUAUUAAUGUUUUGGAGCACGACAGGGAGCCGUGGUUUAUUUGCAACUGAAAUAGAAGAAAACAACAAACAAAACAAGAGGUAGCAGCAAACCCCCGGCGAUUUGACCCUAUAGUAAUACUUAGUUCUUGGACUUAAACAUAUAAAGAUAAAUAUUUCAAUCCCUUCAUGUGUAGGCCUCGAACCAUGGUAUAAUAAAAAGGUAAGCUAGAGCUACAAGCUGAUUACAAUUUUUUUCUAAGUGUGCCCGACUUUUGUCAAUUUGUGUAUAUAAGUAUUGUUUUGAAAACCAAAAUAAAAUAUUUUCAAAAUCAAUGAAUGGAAGAAACGUACAUUGCAGGACGCUGGUUAAAGAAAAUUCAGACGUUUCAUUCAUCUUUCCCGCUUUUUAACUCGUUUUAAAAAUGUACAUUUGGCACUGAGGGGAUAAACAAUAAAAAAUUGUAAUCGUAUGAUACCAAGAGAUUACCAUGGUAUACACUUUUUUAAUAUAAAAUUUGACUUCAGGACAAUGUGAACAUAUUUUUUUUUUUUUCUAAAAUUAGAGAAAAUCGCUGUUAUACUCUACAAAACAACGAUGUUCACAAACUUUUUCACGGUCAAGAAACAGCGACACCACAUUAGGUAAAAUAUACUCGUAUGUUCCAUGUUUUCUAAAAUUGAAUAAUGUAGAAUAAUUUAUGUAUGUAUGCAGUUUGGUCUCAAUUUGAACGGGAUGUGGCUUUUCCACCAUUUUCUAGAUAUUUUAAGAACUAUUCUUCUACAAUUUUAAUUUAAAAAUCUAAACUCCAAAAAUUUACAUUUUUGAAGUUAAAAUAAUUUAUUGAAAAUUAAUUGUUUUGCUUAAAUUUUUGGACAUAUAACUCUAACACAUGUAUUUCGUACAAAAACUACUUUAUAUGUGGUUUUGUUACAUUUGUUGUACAACAACACUUACUGUUACCUGUAUUAUUCAACCAUGGAUAACAAUUAAGGCGGGAAUACAUAAAGCGCUUAUCUAGCUGGCUUCUUCGGAACUAAGUCAACAUAAACCCCUUUGUUCAUCUACGAAGAAGCCAGCCGGUGAAUUAAGCCAGCCAGAUAAGCGCUUUAUGUAUUCCCACCAUUCUCAAAUGGAAAAUCUGAAUAUCGUACGUCAUGUUAUUUAGUAGAUAAUGUUGUGUAUAGUUAAUUAGAGUUAAAAUAAACUUUUGUGGAAUUUUUGUUAAUAUGGCAGUUUCCUAACUAGAUCUUCAGCAAAUUAAUUGGAGAAGGAUCCCAGAAGUCUAUGGAAGGUGCGUAAAUGGGGCAGCAGGAACAUCCACUCUCCUUUGCCUGAGCAGCUGUUGUGUUUGUUUAAUGUAUAGUGUUUGUUAUGUGUAAAGUUCCGAUUUCGUGUUCGUCCUGAGGUGUUACAAAGUAGACGGUUGAGAACCAGACCCCGAGACCGCUAGCAGAUCGAUGGUCACUUUUAAGCUGCCAAACAGGAUUAUAUAACAAUUAUUUUGGACCCAUUAUAUGUAGCCAUAAUCAAAAUCAAAAUAACCUAAUAUUUUGGUCUAUACCUUGCAAAAUUUUCUAUAGAGUUUUAAAUUUGGUACAGUCCUAUGUAUUACAUUUAGAAUAUAAGUCCUAUCGUUCUACGUUUUUGUAUAGAAUCCAUAUAAAAGUAUACCCCGAUUUAAGUUUUUUUUUAUU